UACGUAGGGGGCUAGCGUUGUCCGGAAUUAUUGGGCGUAAAGAGCUCGUAGGCGGUGUGUCGCGUCGGCCGUGAAAACCUGCAGCUUAACUGUGGGCUUGCGGUCGAUACGGGCAUCACUGGAGUUCGGCAGGGGAGACUGGAAUUCCUGGUGUAGCGGUGAAAUGCGCAGAUAUCAGGAGGAACACCGGUGGCGAAGGCGGGCUCUGGGCCGAUACUGACGCUGAGGAGCGAAAGCGUGGGGAGCGAACAGG
rnacentral:rRNA from 1 species